rnacentral:rRNA from 1 species
UACGAAGGGGGCUAGCGUUGUUCGGAAUCACUGGGCGUAAAGGGCGCGUAGGCGGCUUUAUAAGUCGGGGGUGAAAGCCUGUGGCUCAACCACAGAAUUGCCUUCGAUACUGUAGAGCUUGAGACCGGAAGAGGUAAGUGGAACUGCGAGUGUAGAGGUGAAAUUCGUAGAUAUUCGCAAGAACACCAGUGGCGAAGGCGGCUCACUGGCCCGGUACUCGACGCUGAGGCACGAAAGCGUGGGGAAGCAAACAGGG